rnacentral:rRNA from 1 species
UAAUACAGAGGGUGCGAGCGUUAAUCGGAAUUACUGGGCGUAAAGGGUGCGUAGGUGGUUGUAUGUGCGUUAUGUGAAAGCCCCGGGCUUAACCUGGGAAGUGCAUAGCAGACUAUAUAACUGGAGUACAGGAGAGGGUAGCGGAAUUUCCGGUGUAGCGGUGAAAUGCGUAGAUAUCGGAAGGAACGUCAAUGGCGAAGGCAGCUACCUGGACUGAUACUGACACUGAGGCACGAAAGCGUGGGGAGCGAACAGGAUUAGAUACCCUGGUAGUCCACGCUGUAAACGAUGAGGACUAGAUGUGGGUUGGGGAACCAAUCUGUAUCGAAGCUAACGCGAUAAGUCUUCCGCCUGGGAAGUACGGCCGCAAGGUUG